GUUGAUCCUGCCGGAGGCUACCGCUAUUGGAGUUCGAUUAAGCCAUGCGAGUCGCGAGUCUUAGGGACUCGGCGUACCGCUCAGUAACACGUGGGUAACCUGCCCUAUGCUGGGGGAUAACCUCGGGAAACUGAGAAUAAUACCCCAUAGUUCACCACGCCUGGAACGGUGGGUGGAUGAAAGCUCCGGCGGCAUAGGAUGGGCCUGCGGCGUAUCAGGUUGUAGGGGGUGUAAUGUACCCUCUAGCCAUCUACGCGUACGGGUGUUGGGAGACAUCGCCCGGAGAUGGAUUCUGAGACACGAAUCCAGACCCUACGGGGUGCAGCAGGCGCGAAAACUUGGCAAUGCGAGCAAUCGUGACCAGGGAACUCCAAGUGCAUCGGGUAAGACCGAUGCUUUUCUUGACUCUUCAAAGGUCUUGGAAUAAGGGGUGGGUAAGGACGGUGCCAGCCGCCGCGGUAAUACCGGCGCCUCAAGUGGUAGUCGCUUUUAUUGGGCCUAAAACGUCCGUAGCCGGUUUGGUACAUUCGUGGGUAAAUCAAGGCGCUCAACGUCUUGAAUUCUGCGAGCACGGCCAGACUUGGGACCGGGUGAGGUGUGGGGUACUCUCAGGGUAGGGGUAAAAUCCUGUCAUCCUGAGAGGACCACCUGUUGCGAAGGCGCCACACUAGAACGGAUCCGACGGUCAGGGACGAAGCCUAGGGGCACGAACCGGAUUAGAUACCCGGGUAGUCCUAGGUGUAAACGCUGUGGACUUGGUGUUGGGGAUUCUCCGAGGAUUCUCAGUGCCGAAGCGAAGGUGAUAAGUCCACUGCCUGGGGAGUACGGUCGCAAGGCUGAAACUUAAAGGAAUUGGCGGGGGAGCACCGCAACCUGAGGAUUGUGCGGUUUAAUUGGAGUCA
rnacentral:rRNA from 1 species